rnacentral:tRNA from 1 species
GGGCCCAUGGCGUAACGGUAGCGCGCCUCGUUUGCAACGAGGAGGUUAGGAGUUCGAAUCUCCUUGGGUCCA